UACGUAGGGUGCAAGCGUUGUCCGGAAUUAUUGGGCGUAAAGAGCUCGUAGGCGGCCUGCUAAGUCGAACGUGAAAUCCCCGGGCUCAACCCGGGAACUGCGUCCGAUACUGGCAGGCUUGAAUCCGGGAGAGGGAUGCGGAAUUCCAGGUGUAGCGGUGAAAUGCGUAGAUAUCUGGAGGAACACCGGUGGCGAAGGCGGCAUCCUGGACCGGCAUUGACGCUGAGGCGCGAAAGCCAGGGGAGCAAACGGG
rnacentral:rRNA from 1 species